GACGAACGCUGGCGGCGUGCCUAACACAUGCAAGUCGAACGGAGAAAUUAUUUCGGUAAUUUCUUAGUGGCGAACGGGUGAGUAACACGUAAACAACCUGCCUUUUAGAUGGGGACAACAUCUCGAAAGGGAUGCUAAUACCGAAUGUUUUAGCUUUACCGCAUGGCAGAGCUAAUAAAGGUGGCCUCUAUUUAUAAGCUACCGCUAAAAGAUGGUCUCGCGUCUGAUUAGCUGGUUGGUGAGGUAACGGCUCACCAAGGCGACGAUCAGUAGCCGGUCUGAGAGGAUGAACGGCCACAUUGGGACUGAGAUACGGCCCAG
rnacentral:rRNA from 1 species